ensembl:snoRNA small nucleolar RNA SNORA3/SNORA45 family
AGCGAUACUAGAGUCACAUCCUGAUGCUGCUGGUGGUCCUGGUGUGCUAUAGUACUCGCAGAAUGACUCUCUGCUUAUUCAAUGGCUGCUGCUCUCUGUUGUCCAGCCAAUCACCCGGUCAGAAACAUGC